rnacentral:misc_RNA from 1 species
UUUUUGCGUUAACGAUUGCAGCGACAUCCUUUUUGUGUGCAAAAAGACCUGCCUGCCGGCAGGCAGGUAUAGCGUAAAGCGUGUUAUAAC